ACCCGCCCCCGGGCGCCAGUGAUUGGCGCAGAGGCUGCGCGACGUCUUUGUCGUUCGUAAAGGAAAACACACGCACACCCACAUCUGGAUGCGACUGUCGCACAACUGGAGCUUUUAGGAAACAGCGGAUUACGCAUAGUGAGAUGUCCCACUGUAGCUGCUGAUGGAAAGUGUGUUUUACAACGCUGGGCUGAUGAUGAAGAGGAUUGAGGGACACCGAGGAGGGAGAAUUAUUGCUGCUGAAUCGGGACAACGACAGUCGGCUGUUGGCCAAUAAUUAUGACAAUGGGUGGGGUAUGAAGCGCUUGAUCAACAACAAAUUAAUUUUCCCAAGAGCCUCACAUAUUAAAUCCAUGCACGAGGCCCUAAUACGCAAUUCAGUAUGAGACUGUUUUGCAAUGCAUCACUUGAAGAUAUCCCAUUGUCUAUUGACAACUACUCUGGAUUCGUGGUCUGGUUUCAUCGCAGAGCGGAACCGGAUCAGUUGUGAAGACAGCGAGACGAAUCCCUGAGCGCGAUGAGGCUUUCUGCAGGACAGCUGUGGAGGCCAGCAUGCGGUCCCAGUCGAGGCGCUUCAUUCCCCAGCUGCCGCUCAAGAACUGCUGGAGGCCCUCACCGUGCCGCUGACAGACUUCACAUCAGCCUACUGCAGAGUUCCUCCGCGCCGGUUGUUGGCAAUGAGAACUUAAGAGAGGAUUUUGGAAUUCAUGCUGAAAAAAACACAAACUCAUCUGAGAAUCACAGCAACGAGAGCCUCCCCGUGACUACUCCUGAGGAUCAAAUGCUUCAAUUACAGCUACAUGAAAAUGAAACCGAGAUGAACAGGCUCUGGGGAAUUAAUGCUGAGCUUGUAGAGGAGGCUCACAAAAGUAGUCAUGAGAUUUCAGUCCAACUCAAGCAUCUUUCUGAGACAGAAGACAAAAGGGCUUCAAGAACAAAUGAGUAGCACUUUAAUGGCCUACAGUUCAGACUUUAAUUACGGCAAGUCAAACGUCUGGCUGCCACAGCAAAUCUUUGGUUUCCAUUACGUCUCACCUCCUCCUUUCUAAUCAGGUGAAAAAUACGUAGCCAUAUAGCAUUUGAAACAAUAGCCCCUCCUGUCACGUCUCAACCAGAAUAGGCCCAAUUCUAUAGAGAGUAAAAAUACAGAGUAAAGAAGGCUAGCUGAAUAAGGUUUUUAGGCCAUUUGUAUAAUUCAGAAUGACUCUUCAGAUACUGUUCAACGUUAAUUUGAGUAAAUUUAGAGCAAAAGCCCCGGUACAUGGACUUCAUGUGGAAAGAGUAAGACCUCAUGGAGCCCCAGUCCUACCAGUUCCCUUCGCAGCCAGGCCAGUGCGUUCUCGAUGUCCAGCUUCGUGCCUUCCUCUCCAGCUGUGCACCCGGACCUGCUCUGAGGGUCCCUGCGUGCACCCUGCCCCGCCGGGCUGCCAUCAUCGAAGGUGGAGGUCUUGCAGGAGAAGUCCCGCAGUCUGUUUAAGACCACUUCCAUCAUGUCAGGUGUAUGUUCUCAGCUGUAGCGCAGAUGCAGCCUCGUCUCUCUGCUCUCUCUUUCUCCUCCUGUUAAGAGAUCACGGUUUAUGAGGGACUCUCACUCCCUUUCAUUCUCAGCACUGUGGAGUUUGUGCAUGUUGGCAGAGCAGGUCUGACGUCAGUGCAUUGUCCAGAUGCCUGACCUGGAGUUGUUUACCACUUUGUUGUGGGAGGAGGGGGUGCACGCAUACACACACAGACCGUGUUCAUUAGGAUGUAUGGGGGGUAACAUCUGUAACAAUCCUUGUGAUGGUUUGGGUCUGUUGCUUUUUGUGUACUUGAGGAGGAUGCGGGGAGCACAGAGCAUGUGAUCUGUGGUCAGGAGCUUAAGAACAGUGUGAACAGCCAUGUGUAACUAACCCCCUCUUGUGCUGUUUUACCCUCAUUCUGCCGCCCCUGGCAACCCCAUCUAUUCUCACACACACACACCGCAUUGUAAACCAAACAUAGGCCCACUUUGUGGACUCCACAGUAUCAACCCAAAUAGCCACAUCGACACAUAGAAAGCUAUUUUUAAGAGUGGAAACUGACUCCUCUUCAGGAAAAACAACGUCACUACUCUCAAAAGGAGUAAAAAACAAGCUGCCUUUUAGUGCCAUUGUGCGAAUUGUCCCAUGUUCUUAAUGCGACUUGCAAAGACAAUGAAGAGCCGGGUUUAAGUUGUAUCAGCUGUGACGUCAACAGUUGCUUUGAAUGAGUAGAAUUGACAAUUAUGUUAAAUACCUUUUCUUCACCUUCCUAUCAUUUUCUGUUUGUAUCUUUGUCGCUAUUAAUAUUUAAUGCUAGUCUGUUUGUUUUGGGAUGAGAGUUUCGGCUAAAAUUGAAAUAAUAACAACAGCAACACCAUUUGGUAAAUUUGCAACCAAUAUUUCUUCACUGCUGUUGGUGGACGACGAUUAGGCCGACAGACAAGACUUCAUAUUCAAUACAAAAUAUAUAUAAAGUACCACACAUGUUGCAAGUAGGGUCGUUACAGUUUAGGAAUAAGUACUGAGGUUGUUUAUUGAAGUACCAAUAGAAAUACGACAGCACUCACAAUUUCACUUGUUAAAGUACCAGUAAGUAUUGGCAUCAAAAUGAACUUAGAUGAAGAACUCAUUAUACUGAUUGACUUAUUAGGAUAUUGUAUAUCACUGAUCACGGCUCAUUGCCGCCACCAUGUGUUGUAUUUUUGAAGGCAUUUACUAACAACUGGUGGUUUCCUUUCAACGAUGCAGGUCAAUCUGUACAAUAUAUACAGUAUAGGAAAGGGGCCAAGCCGAUUGGCUUAGGAAACAUAACAAUGACUGAAUUGUAAGACGCUUUUUGAACUUGAAUGGCAAGGUACUGCAAGAUGUCAUUAAAUACAACCCGUGUAGAAAUAAAUAAAUAAAUAAGGCAUUUGAAACGUAUCCCAUUUUUCAAUUAAAACGGCAUAUUGAACUAAUGUUCACAGUUCAACUCUCAGUACAGUAUACCGUCACAGUGCAAACAGCAUCUACAGCAUCAGCACCCGGGCUCAUCAUCUUCAGCUAAUCUGCUGCUCAGAAGCUACAAAGAAAAAUUAAGAUCAAGUUUAAGUUGUAUUAUCAAUAUUUGCAUAUUAUUUCCAAAGACUAUGGAUGGAUAUAUAGUGGGUGAAAUAAAAAGCCUAAUAUUUUAAUGAAAUGUUUUAUUUUGGUUGACAAGUUGACAACCAACGCUACAACGUUAGCCGAAUAGUUAGGUUACUAUAGUAGUUACUAAUCAUCAGGCGUGUCUCUCUUUACCAGUUGCCACUUGUGUUUGUCCUCU